GUGGGGAAUAAUCCGCAAUGGACGAAAGUCUGACGGAGCAACGCCGCGUGAGUGAUGAAGGUUUUCGGACUGUAAAGCUCUGUUGUUUAGGACGAAAGUGCCUGUUGCGAACAGUUACAGGUAUUGACGGUACUAAACGAGGAAGCCACGGCUAACUACGUGCCAGCAGCCGCGGUAAUACGUAGGUGGCAAGCGUUGUCCGGAAUUAUUGGGCGUAAAGAGCAUGUAGGCGGAGAUUUAAGUCUGUUGUGAAAAUGCGGGGCUCAACCCCGUAGUGCGAUGGAAACUGAAUUUCUUGAGUGCAGGAGAGGAAAGGGGAAUUCCCAGUGUAGCGGUGAAAUGCGUAGAUAUUGGGAGGAACACCAGUGGCGAAGGCGCCUUUCUGGACUGUGUCUGACGCUGAGAUGCGAAAGCCAGGGUAGCGAACGGGAUUAGAAACCCCAGUAGUCC
rnacentral:rRNA from 1 species